AGAUUGGAGCUGGAUAGAUUCAGAUAUCCCCCGAUUACAAGGCAUCUUCCACUGCAGCUGAUGUAGAAAGGACACUUGAACUACCUUCAACUCCUCGACUGAUACUCUUUGGUGAAAAACCAGGAAGCUGCAUUCAUAAAUGGAUGAUUAGUUUUGAGGGGCAAAUAAUCUGUGAGGGCAUCCAGCCAAGUUUUCUGUCUGGACUUGCUGCUGUGUUUUCAACUUUCUACAAUUUCAAUGUGGAGUACCAAGCUGAGGCUGCAUCCACGUUGGAAUUUAUUCAGAGGUGCUUCAUUGGAAUAAAUCCUGAAAAAGGCACCAAGGGUGGACAAGUCCUAUCAAAGUGGACAGGGAAGGUCGGCCACAAAAAGAAAUCAGUCAACACUCGGGUUGCCAGUCUACUUAAGAAGCUAAUGGACUUUGAGUGGGACUUCAUAUAAGUGAACUCACUCAUUCACUGACAUACCACACACACACACCGUACACAUACUCUUCACACAUGAUAAAAACAUGUUUUUAGUGUGUUUAGUCGCACAAUUUUUUCAGGUGUUCAUUCUUGAAUACCUACAUUUUGACUUCAUUCAUCAUUGAAUUAUUUCUUCAUUCAGUAACUCUUAUUCACUAAUAAUUUAGUAAUUCUUAUUCUCUCAGCAG